UGGGGAAUAUUGCGCAAUGGGCGAAAGCCUGACGCAGCGACGCCGCGUGGAGGAUGAAGGUCUUCGGAUUGUAAACUUCUGUUAAGUGGGAAGAAAUACCCAUCCUUAAUACGGAUGGGGGAUGACUGUACCAUUAGAGAAAGCACCGGCUAAACUCGUGCCAGCAGCCGCGGUAAUACGAGUGGUGCAAGCGUUAUUCGGAAUCAUUGGGCGUAAAGGGUGUGUAGACGGCUUACUAAGUCAACUGUUAAAUUCUCCGGCCUAACCGGAGGCCAGCAGUAGAAACUGGUGAGCUCGAGGGUGGAAGAGAGAAGCGGAAUUCUCGGAGUAGCGGUAAAAUGCGUAGAUCUCGAGAGGAACACCAAUGGCGAAGGCAGCUUCUUGGUCCAUUUCUGACGUUGAAACACGAAAGCGUGGGGAGCAAACAGG
rnacentral:rRNA from 1 species